UCGUCUUUUCUUCAACAGAAAUACAAUAAUCUGGAAUUUAAAUGGUUUAACGAGGAAAACAAGCUGCAGGGAUCAGGAGAGACACUUACAAGGAAAACCGACGAUGUGGUAAACACCAACUUCUUUUGCAAUGUUUCAAACUCCAUCAGCUCUGAGAUCAGUGACCCUGCUGCACAAAAGUGCUCAAAACCCUCUUUUCCUAAUGAAUUAUUUGGAAUUAGCAUCUGGGUUUUCAUAGGAGGCGGAGCAGGUCUUCUUAUUUUGGUGAUCGUCACUGCCACAGUUUGUUGUGUCCGGGCCAGACGAAAGAGACGCAUAUGAUAAACGGUAUUUACUUAUAUACUGUUAUCAUUAUUAUUUUAGUUCAUGUUAAAAAUAUAAGCCACUGCGCUAAGGCAGAACAUCUUAAAAACUAUUUUACUUACGUAAAUGACUUAGUUCACCCAUGUACAGCCCAUCCAUUCACCAUUCAUUGUGCAUGUAGGUUACUUGAGGAGCUCCCCAAGGCUCAGUCUUAGGUCCAUUAGAUUUAUAUUAUUUGUACUUUGAUUUUUUUAGGGGUUAUGGUUAAGAUUACUUGCAUUCAGUUCAAAAUAUUUACAUACAGCAGAUAAUGAUUCACUUCAAGGGACUACAAACUUCAAGUUGCACAGUGCAGGAUUUCAAAAAGGAGAGAUCACUU